rnacentral:rRNA from 1 species
UGGUGGAGUGAUUUGUCUGGUUAAUUCCGUUAACGAACGAGACCUCGACCUGCUAAAUAGUCCGGCGAACCCUCUUGGGCUCGACUCCGGCACUUCUUAGAGGGACUAUUGGUUUUGAUCCAAUGGAGGUUCGAGGCAAUAACA